rnacentral:rRNA from 1 species
GCCUGCCCAUUGGGAUCUAAAAGGCCGCGGUAUUAUGACCGUGCUAAGGUAGCAUAAUCAUUAGUCUUUUAAUUGAAGGCUGGUAUGAAUGGCUGGACAAGAAAUAAGCUGUCUUAAAUGAAAAUAUUGAAUUUAACUUUUAAGUGAAAAGGCUUAAAUUUUCUAAAGGGACGAUAAGACCCUAUAAAACUUUAUAUUUUAAAAUAAUAAUUAAUUUUAUAUAAGGAAUUUAUUUUUAAAUAUUUUAUUGGGGUGAUAAAGAUAAAAUAUAAGAUAACUGUCUUUUUUUUUUUUUACAAAUAAUAUUUGAUUAAAGGAUCUUAAUAAAGGAAGCAAAAGAUUAAGUUACUUUAGGGAUAACAGCGUAAUUUUCUUUAAGAGUUCUUAUCGACAAGAAAGUUUGCGACCUCGAUGUUGAAUUAAAAGUUCUUUAUAGAGUAGAUAUUAUAAUAGAGGGUCUGUUCGACCCUUAAAAUUUUACGUG